GCAUCCCCACCGGUGACGGCGUGGGAGAUCCCUUCCCACGGCCGACUGGACUUCGCCGAUGUGUUCAAGCCCACCGGUGUCCCAGCGGCGGCGACCGCGGUGCACGUGCCCACUCCGCCGUCGGAGUGGCCGGCGUCCCGCCCUGAGUCCUGCACCAUGUACGUCCCCGCUCCCGAUCCGGAGAUGUCGUACUUCGCGCGGCGCCACGCGUACGCCUACAUCAGCCCAGACACGGCGCCGGGCCACGCGAACCCGGAGGCCUUCUUCCGCGCCGUCUUCCGCACCCUGGCUCCGGACCUGUCGCAGGACCUGGAGCUCCAAACGCCCAGCUACUUCAGCGACGUGGUGGUGUGCUUCCGCACGCCGGAGGACCGGGAGGCGGCCAUGCGCAGGCAGCCGUUCGAGGUGGCCGGCGUGACGGUGAAGCUGGUGCGCGAGGGGGAGACGCCCAACGUCACCUUCACCCCGAUGGAGUGCCUCGCCCACGUCGCUCUGCACCGCUACCCCGUGGAGGAGCGGACGGAGGAGGAGAUCCGCGGCAACUGCUGCCACUUCGGGGGCGUGCUGGAGGUCGACCGUGCUUGCUUCACGGCGCCCGACCUUUCCACCGUCUUCGUCGUACUUAACAUGGAGCACCCUCGAGAGAUCCCCCGCAAGCUCCGGAUCAGGUACAGCGACGGCUCACGCUGCGUCGUCCCCAUUGAGAUCCUCAGGGUUUGGGAUCGGUCUGAGUCCCUCGACGCCAAUGGAGAGCACGUGCCUCUCUUCCAGCCACUGCCUGCGGCGGCUUGA
rnacentral:rRNA from 1 species